GCCAAAAUGCCGACUCGUUGAAUUGUCGGAUAUUGGAUGGAUUUACCCUUCAUAAGUUUGCAAGAGACCCGCUUCGUCGUGAAAAAUGGAACGACAGCUUUGUGGGUUCCAAAUGACAGAUGGCGAUCGCCUAAUCCAACCUCGUCGCCGUACAGGAUAUUGGACUUCAUCUGGGGGUUAAUAAUCAAAAGGCGUGAAAGGAACCCGCAGAGAAAUCCCGCGAGGGUCGACUGAACUUCUGCGGUGCUCACGACGAUCGGCGGAUUCCCGACCGUGACGUCGCCGGAAGACCGGCCCCAAAAUGAUGAUUUAUUAACUACAAUUAACGUAUUUUGUUCAUCUAUCUUCGCCGGUGUCAGGCGGAACAAUUCGAGUGGCUAUAAAAGCGCUACACACCCUUGUUUCAAUUGCACGUUUUGGUGAGAUGAAUAAAAUGAGACCAAGAUUGAUUUUUUUUUUUUUUCCAACCAUAAAAAAGAAGAAUUCCACAACCGAGAAGUCCACAUCGCUCCAAAAUUGAAGAAAAAUUAAGAAGGAGGCGAGUGAAGCUGCAGGAAUGACGCCAGUCUUCCGGCUAUUUCAUAUUAUUAUUGGGUGGCGGGGCAAGAUGGAGGCCGGAUUGUACCAAGAAAUUU